AGGAUUCUGAUAAGAUGGCAGAAAAAUCAAGAUCAAGAGAAGGUGAACAAAUGGGAGAUAGGUUUCGCUUUGCGUUUACUACCCCACCCCUGCCAAGCAAUGCAGCAGGCCUGCCCAGUAGCUCCCAGUCUCACCCUCCUGACAUUCAAAUAGCACUUGCUCCCUAGUAUGGAUGUGACCUGUUCCCCAAUCCCAGAACUUGAUUUUGCCAGGAACUGAGAUAUGGAAUCUUCACACUUGGAUAGGCUGCUUGCAGGUGGAAGUGUGGAAUGGCCUGCCCAUCCCCCCAACCUCCCAGGACACUGAUGUCAGCACAGUAGCAGCUUCCUUGACAAAUAUUUGUGGAGCUGAAUAAAAAAGCAGCACAGAAGAGCAAACCCCUUGAGAGAUGUCGGCCGACUCCCAGGCCUCCAGAACUUAGCUUGAUGGACUUUGACAGACAGGGAUUUGUUUCUUCGUGUUGUUUAGCUCAAACCAGAGCUAAACCUCCUCAUCGUCUCAAAUGACCUGAAAUGGUUUCCCAAGCAACCUGGGCAGACCCUGGGGAGUCCAGAAGGCAUUCAGGGGCCCUGGACCUCUGGGGCUGAAGAUCUGCCUGCCGCUGUCCUGGAGGUCACAGGUUCCAGAAGGGCAGCAGAUGCCUGAAGCCGCAGGGCUGCGGGAAACAUACCUCACUUGCCUGUGGUCCAGUUUGGAUAGUCCCAGCACAGCUUUACAGGAAUAGGCCCCAAACCGAACUUCCAAGGAGGAAGGAUCUGAUCGGCUCAGCUUGGAUGAGGAAGCGGAGGGAGAGUGGACUGGAAGGAACUUGACCCAGGAUGCUGACCCACAGCGACCCCAAGAAGCUGCUCCAACCCCUGGGACUAUGGAGCUCUACAGCUGUAGAGACCACCAGGAAGUGGACUGCAGGCCCCUGGCCUCUCCAUUCAGAUUCUGCAAAGAGAUCCUGAUGGGUUGGGCCAAUGGGUCAGGCAUCCAGUCAGCUCUGGCUAAGGGGUGAAGGAGUCAGGUGUUACCAACGUGGUGGCAGGGGCCACCUUGAAGCUGUGUUCUGUGCCAUGGAAGAAGGAAGAGGAGGAGGAAGCUAAGCUGGAAGGGAAGGCAGGUGAUACAGGAAAAUUAACUAUGAGCUUUGCUAUAGUGACCACUUUUCCUUCACUCCUUGAGCUGUGGCCUUAAGAACUGUGUACCAAUGGGAGGCACUUGCAUAGUAAGUGUUCAUUUGCUGAAUACUUACAGAGGGCUAUAAGUGGACAAAUAUGUCCAAAAACACAUGAAACACACACCAUCAACACUUGCAGAUGGUCUCCUUCAGGGAACCUUUCCACACUGGCUCUCCCCUCACUGAGCUUUCCUUCCUAUCACCCUCCCAGUCUAGGCUCCUGGAGUCAGUAGUUGGAAUCUCAGAUGGGAAGAAACCUUAAAAGUCAUCUGGUCCAGUAUUUUCCAAAGCAUGUUCCAUGAACUUGUUUUCCAGAAAUGGUUUCCUGGUCUGGUGAGUGGGAGUUCGAUGAGAGUGGCAGUUGUCUAUUUUGUUCACCGAUGUAUCUUAGGUGACUAAAACAAUGGUUGUCACAUGGCUGGCCCUUCAUAUUUGUUUCCAGAUGGAAGACUCUCUUUCUAGUGGUGGAACAUUAGUUUUGCACUGUGUUGGGACAACCUGAUGUAGUGAAAACAAGCCUGGGCAAUGAAAUCAACAGAUUGGAGUUCAGUUCCUAAUUGGGUCAUGGAUGAACUUUGUGACCUUGGGCAAGUGAGUUCACCUCUCUGAGUUGAAUAGGUUCCCUCCUUUCUAGAACAAGUAUGAGUCUGCAUCAGAGAGUGGUUGCGAGGGCUACACAUGAUGGAGGAUGAGGACUGGCACAUCAGAAGUACUGAAUGAAGAAUUGUAACAUAAAAAUGACAACAGUAAUAUAUUUUUGUGGUUUCAGCACUCUUCAAAUGAAACCACCUGGCCAACAGGAUUUUAGUGUACCUGCUUAUAACAUUAGCCUUCGUUUCCACCAAAAAGGGUGUUAAAAAAGGAAGCUUGGAACAUGAAAGUAAGACACUUGGAUGAAGAGAUUUAUGACUCUGGGGGGCUGUGAAUUCCUAAUGUCCUUUUGAGACAUGUAGAUCUUCCAGAGCGAUGCUGCCCAAUGCAGUAGCCACUAGCCAAGUGCAAAUGGUCACUUGCAAUAUGGCUAGUCUUUGAGAUGUGUUUUAAGUGUAAAAUACACACUGAAUUUUAAAGACUUAGCGCAAUACAAAGAAUGUAAAAUAUCUCAUUAUAUCUUGAAAUUAUACUAUUUUGGAUAUAUGGUGUUCCCUUGGUGUCUUUGGGGACUGGUUCCAGGAUCCUAGAGGAUACCCAAAUCCCCAGAUGUCAAGUCCGCUAUAUAAAAUGUCCUGUAGUAUUUGCAUAUAACCUACACACAUCCUUCUGAAUACUUUAAAUCAUCUCUAGAUUCCUUGUAAUUCCUAAUACAAUGUAAAUGUUAUGUAAAUAGUUGUUAUACUAUAUUAAAAAGUUUUUUAUUCUUUAUUUUUGCUGUAUUAUUCUUUUUGCAUAUUUUCAGUCCACAGAUGGUUGAUGCCACAGAUGUGGAACCUGUGAAUAAGGAGGGCUGACUGUAUUGAGU
rnacentral:lncRNA from 1 species